rnacentral:rRNA from 1 species
GCCAGCAGCCAUUUCACCCUGCAACUCACAGCUGGCAAUCCCACUGGAGCUCAGCAGGUGUGAGCCUGGUCAGUACCUGGAUGGGAGACUCCUGGGAAAAACUACGGCUGCUGCUGGAA